rnacentral:rRNA from 1 species
CAGCCGCCGCGUUAAUACCGGCGGCCCGAGUGGCGGUCACUAUUAUUGGGCUUAAAGCGUCCGUAGCCGGGUUGGGAAGUCCUCCGGGAAAUCUGGCCGCUUAACGGUCAGAAUGCCGGAGGAUACUCCCAGCCUAGGGAGCGGGAGAGGCCGAGGGGAUUCCCGGAGGAGGGGGGAAAUCCUAUAAUCCCGGGAGGACCACCUGUGGCGAAGGCGCUCGGCUGGAACGCGUCCGACGGUGAGGGACGAAGGCCAGGGGAGCAAACCGGAUUAGAUACCCGGGUAGUCCUGGCUGUAAACGAUGCGGACUUUGUGUCGGACAAGCUAUGAGCUUGUCCGGUGCCGGAGGGAAACCGUUAAGUCCGCCGCCUGGGGAGUACGGCCGCAAGGCUGAAACUUAAAGGAAUUGGCGGG